CCUCUGAAUGGUUAGUAGUAGGGCAGGCAGGUGUGUGCAAAAGACUCAAAGUGAAUCAACAGACUGACUGGAUUCCAUCUUCUCAGAAGGUGACACAGAUACUGCUGGCCUGGGGACCAUACACUGAGAAACAUUGCUUCAGAAUCCACAAAACAACAGGCCACAAGUGCCAUUGCUUGAAGAUGUUGAUUUUGGCCUGACCUGAUCUUUUCCUUUACCUAUGUAUCACAGGACAUUUUCUAAGAGCUUUUCACUUGCUUGUCAACAGUUGGACACACCAGCAUGUGUCCCCUGAUAGAGAGUUCUUGACAGUGUCCCGUGCUGGGCAGAAUUCAGCAGGACCACUUCUUUGUCUAAUGUUGGUACCAAUAUUCCAAGUCCAGAUGUUGGCAUCUUGUUUCCAGCAGACUCUGGGAGAGCGAACAGACUUGGGGGUUCUUAAAGAAGAGAGAAGAAAGCAUGGAGUCUUCAGAUGUCAUUCAGACAAGGGCCUGGAUAUGUAGCCCAAUUGGUAGAGUGCUUUACUAAUAUGCACAAAAUCUUGGAUUAAGGCUUGCCUUGUGUCUUACUUUUCUAUUAUUUUGAAGAGACACUAUAACUAAGAAGACUUACAAAAGAAAGCAUUUAAUUUGGGGGCUCAUGAUUACAGCUUCCAGAGGGAUAAAGUCCAUGAUCAUCAUGGGUAGGACAUGGCAUUGGGCAGGUAGGCAUGGUGUGGAGCAGUAGAUGAAGUCUCACAUCUCAUCCACAAGAAUGAGAUAGAGACAAAGAGAAAGAGAGGAUUAACUGGGAAUGGUAUAGGCUUUUGAUAUCUCAAAGACUACCCCCAAUGACACACUUCCUCCAAUAAAGCCACACCUCCUAAUCCUUCCCAAACAAUUUCACCAAUUUUGGACUAAGCAUUAAAAAUGAAUGUAUGGGGGACAUUUUCAUUCAAACCACUAUUUCUAGCAUGCAAAAAGUCUUGGAUUAGAUCCCAGCACAUAUGGAUUGGAUAUGUUGGCAUAUGUAAUUCUAGCACUUGACAAGUAGAAGCAGGAAGAUCAAAAGUUAAAGUCAUCCAAGGCCAGCAUGGAUUACAAUAGAAAAAGAAAAUGAAGAGGAAGAAGAAAGAAGUCUUCUUGAAGGAUAGGAAGCUCACAGGAAGACCAACAAAGCCAACUAACCUGGACCCUUAGGGGCUCCCAGAGACUGAACCAUCAAAGGGCUAUCAUGGACUGGACCGAGGCCCCCUGAACAUAGAUAGCAGAUGUACAUCUUGGUCUUCAUUAGGUCUCCCAACCACAGGAGCAUGUGGCUGUCCUUGAAUUUGUUGCCUGCCCAUGGAUCUCAUUCCUCUAAUUGGUCAGCCUUGUCUGGCCUCAGUGAGAGAGGAUGCACGUGCAGUGACUUGUGUGUGUGUGUGUGUGUGUGUGUGUAUAGGAUAUUCAGGUGGGUCUUCCCUUCUCAGAAGGGAAGGGGAGGGAGAGUGGGGGAGAAGCUGGGAGAGAGGGGACUAGGAGAAGAAGAGGCUGUUACUGGGAUGUAAACUGAAUAAAUAAAUAAAUUUAAAAAUAAAUAAACUAUAACUACCCAUUUAAAAAAA